GGAUUUACUUUAAGCGUGUCUCCUCAUUUCACACGAUACAUCCGCGCCUCCACACCCCUCUCUUCCAAACGCUCCAUCGGCGGCGCCUCUCCGCCUUGCACCGCCGUCGCACUGAACUUCCGUCAUACCGAAGCUCCGUCACACCCCUCCCGGCUCUUCGUGUGUUGCACGCGUCGCUUUGUAUCGAACCCUAAUGUGCAGCCUCUCCUCCUGUUCGCCAUUUUUCGUUGAGCUUUUCUGCAUCUCGUCUGCUUCACCACCUCUCCUCAAACUUUGCAGCGCGCUGCUGUCGUUCUAGUCUUGGUAUGGUUUCUGUGGUCCAGUUCUUAUUGUAUUUGCUAUCGUCUUACGCAUGCAUAGCUAUUUUGAUUUAUUUUUCUUUUGCUUUCUUUCUUUCUUUCUUUCUCCUUCGUUUUCCUUCUCGCACUUCUGGAUCUGCUACCACUCAUAGAAUUUCCUGUUCCAGAAUAUCGAGAAUCUAUCCUCAGAUUAGGUUAAUUUCUGAACAUAUCACUUUCAGUUUUCUGGAUUUUUAUUUUCAUGUUUGAAAUACUGAUUGUGUAGAUUUUGUUGUUCAAUUAGUUCAUUCUUUUUUCAGUUACUGAGAUGAUUAUAUGGCUUUAAGUCCAAAACAUGAGCAAUACAAUAAUGUCUGUGGCCACCAAUUCAUUCUCUAUUCAUGUGAUGAAAAAAUUAUUAGCUGUUAGUAACUCAGGAAGUUUAUCUGUGUCAUUGCUUCAGAAGAUUCAUGGAAACCUCAUAAAGGAGGCCCAUGACAAGUCAAGAUCUGUGACCAAGGCUCCUGCCAUGAAGGGUUAGUAUAAUUCUGGUCUAUUUUCUUAGUUUCUUCCUAUAUCAAUAACCUACAUAUCAAUAUAUACCUGCAAAUCUAUAAGAUAUAUUGUUUCAAGGGAUCCACACAACAGAAGAUAGAAGAGGAAUUGAGGGUUAAGAUAAUAAUACCUACUUCAAAAGAAGAUGAUUUUGUUAGUGGUAUGCUUCACUUGGGAUGUAUGAUGUGGCUGUCAAGCAUAUGAUGAAAAUCUUGGCCUGCAGUCACCAGUCCAAGGCAACACAGGAAUUAUUCCUUAGUGACUUUCUUCAAACUGUGAAGGUGAUAGUGACUCUAUUUCCUUUUCAGAUCUCAUGCUUAGAACCUGAUUGUUAAAAUACUGAAUCAUAUGACAAUAAAAUUUACUUUUUGAGCAUAUAUAUUACUUAUUUGAAAAUUCAUAAAGUGGUUUCAUAAACUGGCACAUCAUCAUGGCUUCACUUAACAAGAACUAUAUUGACAUGGAUGAGUAUCCUGUCACCACUGAGCUCCAGGUUUCUCUGUUUCUUUCUUUCCUCCUUUAUUUAUUUAUUUAUUUAUCACUUCACUUGAUCAUAAAAAACUAAUUGGGGAUCAUGUGAGAUCUCUUCAACUGUGAACAAGAUUGUUUGAAUCAUGGCUUAAAUAGAUUUUUGGCCUUACAAUUUUUUUCUUUUGGUGGUUUUGGUAAAAAAAAAAAAAAGUAUUCAGAAGUGAAAUUAGUCCCUUCUGUCAUCCAAAAUUAAAGAAAUUUGGAUAUGGUUACUUAUCUUUGAAUCAUAGGAACCAUAGGUUUAGUUUACCAUAAAAUUGCUAAAUUUUACAUGGAUCAUAACCUUAUUUAAACCCUUAAGUUUUUAUAAUUUAUAAACUUAUUGAGGGAAAGUGAUAUUGAAAGAGCUUGAUUAUUUGGUUGGUUUAUUAGGCUGAAAUUUUCGUUGGUUGGACAAUAGAUCUAUCUGUAACAAGUGUUGGAGAAAGGAGGAUUUUUCCUUUUUUUAUUUUUAUUUAUUUAUUUAUUUAUUUUUUUAUGUCAAAGCAUCGACUAGAAUAAAAAAGUAGCUUACAUAUGAUAGAUAGAUUUUGGUUUUUAUGAUGUUUGCCCUCAAAAUUUGGUGUUUCUGUUGGCAACUUUUUAGAUCUCAUGUGUUGUCAGAAAAUGGAGUGAAUUGCUAUAACUGAAAUAGCCACUGAAUUCUGAAUCUUAUGUGAAGUAGUAACAUUGAACUAUUGAAAGCUGUGAUAUUGCUCUAUUUAAAUCUGUCUGUAAAAUUCAAAUAUACGACUGGGUAAUGUUGCAGCAGGUGAUGCAGAAUUAUAUAAUUUAAAUGUUGCAGCAGGUGAUGCAGAAUCCUAACUUCAUGACCAUGGCUGAGCGCCUGGGAUCCAUCUAUGUCUUCCAUGCUUGAAAGUCUUACUAGUCCUUCAAAUAAAGAUCAGCUUGAGAAGAGAAUGGCACGCAUAAAAGAAGAUCCAUCUUUGAAGCAUAUUUUAGAUGAGAUAGAGACUGGUGGUCCUGCUGCUAUGAUGAGGUUUAGAUGGCAAAAUUAGGAUGGUCAUCUUAAUUUUUGGGAGUAUCUUUUUAUUGAGACACUGAGAUAUUGAAUAAUGGUGUUGAAAAAUAAUAUCCAAUUUUAUAGGUAUCGUGUAAUGAAUAUUAUGUUUAUCUAUGAAUAUUAUGUUUAUCUAUGUGA